AACGCUGGCGGCAUGCCUAACACAUGCAAGUCGAACGAACCCUUCGGGGUUAGUGGCGCACGGGUGCGUAACGCGUGGGAACCUGCCCUUAGGUUCGGAAUAACUCAGAGAAAUUUGAGCUAAUACCGGAUAAUGUCUUCGGACCAAAGAUUUAUCGCCUUUGGAUGGGCCCGCGUAGGAUUAGGUAGUUGGUGGGGUAAAGGCCUACCAAGCCGACGAUCCUUAGCUGGUCUGAGAGGAUGAUCAGCCACACUGGGACUGAGACACGGCCCAGACUCCUACGGGAGGCAGCAGUGGGGAAUAUUGGACAAUGGGCGAAAGCCUGAUCCAGCAAUGCCGCGUGAGUGAUGAAGGCCUUAGGGUUGUAAAGCUCUUUUACCAGGGAUGAUAAUGACAGUACCUGGAGAAUAAGCUCCGGCUAACUCCGUGCCAGCAGCCG
rnacentral:rRNA from 1 species